rnacentral:rRNA from 1 species
CACCUACGGGGCGCAGCAGUGGGGGAUAUUGCACAAUGGGGGGAACCCUGAUGCAGCGACGCCGCGUGGGUGAAGGAGCGUUUCGGCGCGUAAAGCCCUAUCGGCAGGGAAGAAGGAGGACGGUACCUGACUAAGAAGUCACGGCUAACUACGUGCCAGCAGCCGCGGUAAUACGUAGGUGGCGAGCGUUAUCCGGAAUGAUUGGGCGUAAAGGGUGCGCAGGCGGUCCUGCAAGGCUGGAGUGAAACGCAUGAGCUCAACUCGUGCAUGGCUUUGGACACUGGAGG